CAUGUAUCAUGUUUUGUUUUGUAAGAAUGGGCGAAUGGUGCUCUGUUGCUGUCUUGAAAAAGCAGGACUUGGCUAAUCAUCUUGUAAUGUAAUUCUCCAGUCACAAAUUCACUUGUCACCUAUUAUCUUAUCAGACUCCCUGGACGUGUUGCCAAAUCUUACACAAAGGACAACAAGCCACAAUUGACCUCAGGAUCAGAGACAUGUGCAGUCUUGGCUUGGCUGGGACACCUGUCCCCCCCCCCCCCACUUGCCCUGAGGAUGAAGCCAGAACAGCUGCACAGCCACUUGUCUGGAGUGAGUUACAGCAAGGUGCCUGGCUCCGGGCUUUUAUUGAUAAUAUUACAGUACUUGAUGUAAAUAUGACUGUGGUGGCUUUCCUCCUCAGCAUGGGUCGAGGCUGGCCUGCAAACCAACCUGCUCACAGCUCCCCGAGGUGGAGCACACAGCACCGGCUGCCGCUUGCAGGAAGCCAUAAGUGAAGUUGGCCAUAAUAAAUAUUCCCCCACUUUUUGGACAAAGGUUUUGUACUCUAUAGAGUGUUAUUUUCUGUUCUUUACCUUUUCCCCAACAUCCUCCCCCCCUCCUCCUCCCAGCCAUAGCUUCACACAGAGCCGUUAACACAUUCUUCCUCAGAUUUCUCGGGGCAACAGGCCUCGUUACUAAUAGAGUUGAAAGGUAAUUGGUUAUCUAUACUGUUGGUUGGUACAGUAUAUUGCACACAUGCUCUGUUGCACAUGGAGGCUCAGUCUUUCUCACACAAGCAUGCACUCACACACACACACUAAUGCACAUGUGUGCAAACACACACAUAGCCUGCCAUCUUGUCUCUCCUCCGGUGCCAGCUGCAGACGGUGUGCAGACAGACUGAUCUUAGUCCCAAUGAUUAGGUCUUUCAUGUGCCCUGACCUGAGGGUUUAAAGUCAGCUUUAAUGCCUAAGCGUUGACUCCUCUACUGUCCUCGCUACUGGAGCUAAAGAGCCACACACGUGAGUCAGAGUCAGAUACCACACCUGUAGUCCACCCACACUCCAUUCCUUCACUGAGGUGAGAUUUGUUUUCAAUACAAUUUAAACACGGUGCCUUUCCACCAGCCAAAGCAGGAAGUACAUGUGGUUUAAAUGAGUCAACUCUUCCCCAUCUCCUUGGUGAUUUAAUAUUAUCUGCUGGAUGGAAGCAGGUCCUGACAGUUAAGAUGACAAUAUGAAGGGCCCUUAUUUCAUUAUUAGUCUCAGCAGUGCUUAGAAAGAAUGAAGAUAGUGUUGCCCGUGCAAGCGCCACGUGUUGCCAAUGUGGAAUGGACACAUGUAGCAAUUGUCUCUGCGUGCAUGUGGGUGGCCGAGCUCUGGGCAUUACUGCAAUCUGUGAGCAAUUGACAGUAAUCCCCCUCUCCCCGUAAAGGCCCAUCUUUUCCUCUGCAUGCAAACAAGCACGUCUUCACUAGGCCUCAUCCUACAGAAACCCUAUACUCUCCCACUAUAUGUAUGUACAUGCCAAUAUACUAUACUGUAGACCACAGACAUAUUGAAAUAUGUGGCUUUGCUGUAGACUAUAGACAGCUAGAGAAUGGUUACAAAAGCAGUAUCGUAACUAUUAAUCAAUCUCAUGAAAACGUUAGAAACAGAUACACCUUCUACAUUUCUGUGCUGUUUGAUGUUGUUGCACAUUCAGUAGUUGUAUGGGGGUUAUUUUCAUCAAGGAAUUCGUCAUAGCGCAAUAUCAGUUUCAUUUGGGCCUCAUAAAAUGUCCCUAUUUUUGAAUACUUGAUGGCUUUCCGCUGAGAUAUUUAUCUAUUUGCUAAAGACAGGUUUGUCUGGUUUUAAAUGAACAAUGCUGAAUGAUGAAAAGCGUAUUUACCAAACCAAUAAUUCAAAUGAUCCAAAUGAAUUCAUUGUGAAAAAGUUAGCAUAGCCUACAUAUCAGUAUCAUUUACUUAACUUGAACUAAUGUACAUUUAAUUAUCGUUUCAUACUGCUCAUUGACAGUGUUUAAAUAACCCAACGUGAAGAAUAACAAUAUAAUAACAAUAUUAUUGAAAUAUCAAAUAAGAAUAUCAUAACCACACACCAACAAGGUGACUUUUAUCCACAUUGAAAGGCAGAAUGACCAUCAAGUUCACAAGCGAACACACUAUUCCACCUCAAUGAUGACGGAAUGUGACACUGACCUGCAGAAGUGAGAAACAUUCCAUAUGUUUGGGGAGUCUCCCACAUGCCUUUUGGUGAACACCAAAUGCGUUUGCUUAUUUUUAUUCUUUAAGCAAUGGCUUUUUUCUGGCCACUCUUCUGUAAAGCCCAGCUCUGUGGAGUGUACGACUUAAAGUGGUCCUAUGGACAGAUACUCCAAUCUCCGCUGUGGAGCUUUGCAGCUACUUCAGGGUUAUCUUUGGUCUCUUUGUUGCGUCUCUGAUUAACGACCUCCUUGCCUGGUCUGUGAGUUUUGACUUGUUUGGAGAGCUCCUUGGUCUUCAUGGUGCCGCUUGCUUGGUGGUGCCCCUUGCUUAUUGGUGUUGCAGACUCUGGGGCCUUUCAGAACAGGUGUAUAUUUACUGAUUUCAUGUGACAGAUCAUGUGACACUUAGAUUGGACAACAGUUGGACUUUAUUUAACUAAUAAUGUGACUUCUGAAGGUAAUUGGUUGCACCAGAUCUUAUUUAGGGGCUUCACAGCAAAGGGGCUGAAUACAUAUGCACGCACCACUUUCCGAUU
rnacentral:lncRNA from 1 species